AGCAGGGUGAACUAUCUGUGUUAUAAGAUUAUUGGUUCAUUUAAAGUGUUUUAGCGAGAAUGACAUGGCGAAGAGAUGACUUGGGAACCAUGACAAUUAUGCGCGAGAAAUAUCCACUCUUGUAUGAAAUUUAAGCUCAGGUAAAAAUAUUAAAAUUCGAGGACGAAUUUUUAAGGGCGGAAGAUUGAAACGGUCCGUAUAAAAAAACGUGACAAAAUAAAAGUAAUGAAAAUAAAUAAAUAUAUGUAUAUAUAAGGGAAAAAAAACAAAACUAGCCUACCAGGCAUUUAAAGCCAACGCAGCCCCCCACCCCACCCCAUUCUAAAACCAAAACCCACGACCCAUCUCAUUUUCUCUCCCUUGUUUUGCCUCUGUGACAACGCCCUUCAUCUAUCCUCUUCUUCAAUCUUCUUUCCUUCACUAGAAUUACACCAAAUUCAAUCAUGGGAAUACACAAUCAUGAAUGGGAAAUUCGGAAUUUGAGUUGAAGAGUUCUUGACAUAAGUUUUGGAUUUAGGAUUUAUGCUCUGAGGAAGGAGAAGAGUACCCACUCUACAAAAAUUUCACUUUGGAUGCUAUUGAAAUUCGUCAGCGAGUGGAUCGUUCGGUGGUCGUAGGAUUGCUGAAAGCAAUCGUGGUUAUCCUUCAUAGUUAAAACGGUUUUGGGGAUCCUUGAUAGAACCCCGUAGUCGUUAACGGAGGUAACUACCUAGGUGCACCUAGCUAGUUUGAUUCCGGGAGGAGGGGGCUAUCCGUUAAAUGGAGCCGCUAGUGCACAGAAAGGGAUAUCAACGAGAUGAAGCUUCCCCCGAUGAGAUUGAUGAGAUAUGACAUGAUUCCGGGUGGAGAGAGCUAUCCGUUAGAUGGAGCCGCCUCUUGGGUAAGAUAAUCCUUAUGAGGAAAGGGCUAUCAACGAGAUGUAGCUUCCCCCGAUGGCACGAUGUGACUUAAGAAAGGAAAGACUAUCCGUUAGAUGGAGUCGCCCCUAUCGGAGAGGCCAUCCCUUAGAAGGAGAGGGCUAUCAACGAGAUGAAGCCGCCUCAUGGUUCUACAUGUGUGACCCUAUUAAAUUUAUUUCUGGUUUUAUGUUUUAAUAUCUGAACAUGAUUUUAACUGUAUUGUUUGAAAUGAUUAUUUAUGAACUUUAUGAUUUUUGUCAAGUUCAUUGUUGAAAUGAUUUAAACUGGUAUUAUUGAUGAUAUAAAUUGUUUAUACUGAGUUUAGAGCGAAAAACUCGUGCCUAUUCUGUUUCCCCUUCCUGUUCAUGGUGGUUGUUGACUGCUCACUAAGUCUUUGUGACUUACCCCAUUCCUUAUUUCCCUCCACAGAUUUUCAGGCAACUGAGUAGUACUGUUGUCAGAUUCAGAUCAUUCGACUUAUUUCUUUUAGCAGGUUGUCAUGUUGGUGUCUUUUAUUUAAUUCUGGUUAUCUGCAGCUAUAAGGAGUUAUAGGUGGAUUUAGAUUUGGGAUUGUAAUUUAUUGUUUUAUUUUAAGAGUUGGCACUUGAGUGCUCGAAUUCAUUUUUAUAUUUUAAUUGAAA